AGAGGGGGUGCAAGCGUUAAUCGGAAUUACUGGGCGUAAAGGGCGCGUAGGUGGGUAAUUUAAGUUGGAUGUGAAAAGCCUGGGGCUUAACCUGGGUCUGCCAUCCAAUACUGGGAUACUAGAGUACAGUAGAGGGAAGUGGAAUUUCCGGUGUAGCGGUGAAAUGCGUAGAUAUCGGAAGGAACACCAGUGGCGAAGGCGGCUUCCUGGACUGAUACUGACACUGAGGCGCGAAAGCGUGGGGAGCAAACAGGAUUAGAUACCCUGGUAGUCCACGCUGUAAACGAUGAGAACUAGCCGUUGGAAGAGUAAAAUCUUUAAGUGGCGCAGCUAACGCAUUAAGUUCUCCGCCUGGGGAGUACGGCCGCAAGGCUA
rnacentral:rRNA from 1 species